rnacentral:rRNA from 1 species
UCGAGAAUUUUUCUCAAUGGGGGCAACCCUGAAGGAGCGACGCCGCGUGGAGGAUGAAGGCUUUCGGGUUGUAAACUCCUGUCAUUGGGGAACAAAGCCCUCGCAAGAGGGCCUGAUAGUACCCGAAGAGGAAGGGACGGCUAACUCUGUGCCAGCAGCCGCGGUAAUACAGAGGUCUCAAGCGUUGUUCGGAUUCAUUGGGCGUAAAGGGCGCGUAGGCGGCGGGGCAAGUCGGGUGUGAAAUGUCGGGGCUCAACCCCGAAAGGGCAUUCGAUACUGCUUUGCUUUAGAGGGCUGGAGAGGAGAUCGGAAUUCACGGUGUAGCAGUGAAAUGCGUAGAGAUCGUGAGGAAGACCAGUGGCGAAGGCGGAUCUCUGGACAGUGCCUGACGCUGAGGCGCGAAGGCUAGGGGAGCAAACGGGAUUAGAUACC